rnacentral:rRNA from 1 species
GACGAACGCUGGCGGCGUGCCUAAUACAUGCAAGUAGGACGCAGUUGCGAACGGGUGAGUAACGCGUAGGUAACUACCUAUUAGAGGGGGAUAACUAUUGGAAACGAUAGCUAAUACCGCAUACUAGUAGAUGGACCUGCGUUGUAUUAGCUAGUAGGUAGGGUAAUGGCCUACCUAGGCAACGAUACAUAGCCGACCGUAGAGGUUGAUCCGCCACACGGUGACGGAGACACGGCCCAGACUCCUCCGGGAGGCAGCAGUAGGGGAGCUUCGGCAAUGGGGGGAACCCUGACCCAGCAACUCCGCGUGAGUGAAGAAGGUUUUCGGAUCGUAAAGCUCGGUUGUUAAGGAAGCGGUACUUAACCAGAAAGGGACGGCUAACGACGUGCCAGCAGCCGCGGUAAUUC